UCACUACAAUAUUUUAGUACGAAGUCUCGUAUAGAUCCGCUCCCGUUUGCUGUUGGCGUUUUUUUAAUUUAGCUAGGCGCUAAAAUGCUGUGUGUUGAGCGGGGCAUAAACAUUGACAAAGACAAAGUGGUUGGCAGGGUUGCCACCAUGAAGGAGAGGAGUAUGACGUUUUAAAAAGGGAACAUGAUAUGUACAAAGUUCAUUAACCUGCUCGGAUUAUUUUGUUCUAAGGAGGAUGGUGGAAUACACAAAUUGACUAACGUUAGCCUAAACUUAAUUAGGGCUACAGCAGGCUGAGCUGGGACAGAAGUUGACCCUAUCAAGACUGCCCGGUGGCCAAAAGAAAACAAGCAAACACAUCUAAACAUGCUACAAAUGCAACAGAGUCAGAUGUGUCCUCAAGUACAACAUCAACUGUGUAAAUUCACAAAACACAAUCAACUGCAUCAGCUAAAAUGGAUGCAUGCAAACACUGAGAGAAAUGCUCUUCACCUUCAAAAUAAGACAGCAUGCUGAGAAAGAAGAGGGAGGUGAGGCCUGCGGGAGACCUGGGAGAUGAGUUCAAUCCUAAGAGACAAAUCACCCGCUCUACCCUCCACUGCUUGUCCUUGGAGCUCACACUGCAAUCGGCACACAGGGACUACUGCCGUCCUGCCAUCCCCAGCCAUCUGAAGAUGGAGGAUCUAUCUUUGAUUUUCCUGUCCUGAGGAUUUUGUUUCCAGUUUUUCUUACUCCUACCAUUUUUUGUCGAGUUUUUCCCAGU